GAUCAUGGCUCAGGAUGAACGCUAGCUACAGGCUUAACACAUGCAAGUCGAGGGGCAGCAUUUUAGUUUGCUUGCAAACUAAAGAUGGCGACCGGCGCACGGGUGAGUAACACGUAUCCAACCUGCCGAUAACUCGGGGAUAGCCUUUCGAAAGAAAGAUUAAUAUCCGAUGGUAUAUUAAAACCGCANGGUUUUACUAUUAAAGAAUUUCGGUUAUCGAUGGGGAGUGCGUUCCAUAGUUUGUUUGGCGGGGUAACGGG
rnacentral:rRNA from 1 species